rnacentral:lncRNA from 1 species
AAUUUAGUCUUCCUAAGCAGACAUCCUCCAAGGCUCUGUAACGAAUGUCAAAACCUGCUGUCUAUAACAGAGUCAACUGCAAGUUUGUGUAUCCCGGUCCACUCCACCUUUCCAUCAGGCAGUACAUGUGGAAAUGGAAAAGUAGCUUUCUAAUUAAUCAAAGUCAGAUCUGCCUGAACGCCUGGAGUUGCUGCUGAUCCUUGUCCCAGCUUCUCCCAUGUUCUCUCUAUACGUUUUUACCUUGAAAACUUCUGCUCUGAGCUGGGAAUGCCUGAAGGGCUUGCACGGUGGAGCAUUUGUCUUACUUCUAGUUUGAAGCUUCAUGGACAACAACCGUAUCAUCUCCAAUUCAGAUGGAACUGGUUUCAGCUGAUAUCCAGGUUCCACCUUAGCUUCUCCAGUCUGCUUUGGCACCACAUGAUGCUUUCUCUUAAUAUGCUUCCCCACAAUGGAAGCCUCCCCAUGGAGCACCAUACUGUGAAAGGUUCCCUCACUUCUGGACUGUAUGGAUAUAGGAAACAAAAAAUUACUAUAAACAAGUAGGCACUGAGAAAAUAAGAACUAAGCGCAUGAAGCAAAACAGCAACAAUUGAUGCUGCUCUGGGAGAGGACGAGCAUUCCAGGACCUGGGAGUUGACAGCCAUCAAACUCCUGGACAGAACUCCAUGAAAAAAGUAUUGUCCUUUGGGUGAUAAGUUCAAUUGGUAAUUUACAGUGUGGUACAGAUUUGUCCCCCUUCUCGUGAAUUUUUUUUAAUCAAAUACUUUUAUGUCUUUUUUUACUUCAACCCUUUUAUCUUCUUAUACAUUUGAUUGCCUUGGAUGGUAAGUUAUUAGGAGACAAAACUAUUCAUUAAAGGGGGGAGGGAAAUGCUCUAUGUGCACAGGCUACACUGGGAUGCCAAUCAAAUAAGCAGAAUAUUACCAUUCAAUUUCCAUGAUCAAUAAUUAUCAGUUUGCAUAUGGGUGGGGAACAAUUGGCCCUCCAGAUUAUCAUGGGACUGCAACGUCCACUUAGCCAGGAUGGCGAAUUGGGAGGGAUGAUCAAAGUUUUAGUCCAGCAACAUCUCAAUCCUUCAUAGUAACUAUCUCUCCCUGCUAUUCAUCUCAUUAAAUUAUCAGCAGUGAGUGAUUUCUGCAUAAACCUCUAGUGCACGGCCAAGAUUUCUCACUAACCUCUCCUGCUAGGAAUAGAUUUAUUUAUUCCCAACUUUUACAGAUUGUAUCUACAUUACACCAAAUGGACAGUGACAACUCCAGGAAGCUUGCAAUAUGUUUAGAGGCACCUUAAAGAUUAACUUGUUUUAUUUGGCAUACUGUUACAUAUUAACAUCCCCCACUCCAAAAAGUGUCCGUAGGCAUACCAUUUUAAUAUACUUCAGAAAUGACCUGGCCCUACCAUUUUGCCAUUCUGCUGUGAUAUCUUAAGACAGUUGGGAGGCAAUCUUGUCUUCAGGGCAGUUCAAUCAGAUCCAAUACACUCGCUGUUGCUCUCCAGCCACAAAGGAAGGGAAGGGCCUUGGCAGGAGAAGUGCCUCAGAGCUUGCCUUUGUAUUGUUUGCUCUGAUGUGGUCUCUUCUGUUUGAUCAGGUCCUGGAGAGCAGUUCUGACCACAGAUCUGUCAGGAAGUUUACAUUACAAAUUAGCUAAUUGGGUUCUAAAGGAUUUGCACCCAAAAUGCUUCCCACUACGGAAGGACAACAGAGAGACUUCAGACUCUUUACUCUUGUUGUUAUUAUUAUGAUACCCCAGGACUUUUUUUGCCAGGGAAGCAUGUAAAAGUGUAACAUAUACAAACAGAGAGGCACACCCCCACCUCUCCUAGCACUGCUGCUCUUUUAGCGCCUGUGACCUUGAAGCCGUGAUGAGCCAGGGAGACGCUACAAAAUGUACAGGCUCCACCACACCAGGGACUUUGAUGCUGGGGGGAGCUCUGGGGUCAAGCACAGAAAGGGGAAAUAAAUGGUAAAAUCACUGUCUCCA